UUACAGUAAAAAAAAGAGGGGAAGGCCCCAUAAGAAACUGAGCGUGAGAGCCAAAUGAAUCGAAAGGUUCAUAUUUGGUUCGGAAAGAGGUCGUGGAAGUUUUGAGAAGAUAAGCUACUUUCAUUAAGUGAUUUAUUAGAUAAUCGAAAAUAGAGGAUCUUGAGUACUAUUCAAAAUUCAGAAGAACUACGCGAAGGAGCUAUUGAACGGCUGGAAAAAGCCCGGGCCCGCUUACAGAAAGUAGAAAUGGAGGCAUAUGAGUUUCAAGUGAAUGGGUACUCUGAGAUAAAACGAUAAAAAUUAAAUUUGAUUAAUUCGACUUAUAAGAAUUUGGAAUGAUUAGAAAAUUACAAAAAUGAAACUAUUCAUCUUGAACAACAAAGAGCCAUUAAUCAAGUCCAACAACGAGUUUUCCAACAAGCCUUACAAGGAGCUCUAGGAACUCUGAAUAGUUGUUUGAACAAUGAGUUACAUUUACGCACCAUCAGUUCUAAUAUUGGUAUGUUUGGGGCGAUGAAAGAAAUAACUGAGUAGCCCUUCUACUUUCUACUAUAUAGCC